UACGUAGGGUCCGAGCGUUGUCCGGAAUUAUUGGGCGUAAAGGGCUCGUAGGCGGUUUGUCGCGUCGGGAGUGAAAACCUACAGCUUAACUGUGGGCUUGCUUUCGAUACGGGCAGACUUGAGGCAUGCAGGGGAGAACGGAAUUCCUGGUGUAGCGGUGAAAUGCGCAGAUAUCAGGAGGAACACCGGUGGCGAAGGCAGGUCUCUGGGCCACUACUGACGCUGAGUGAGCGAAAGCCAGGGGAGCAAACGGG
rnacentral:rRNA from 1 species